GAUGAACGCUGGCGGCGUGCUUAACACAUGCAAGUCGAACGGAAAGGCCCAAGCUUGCUUGGGUACUCGAGUGGCGAACGGGUGAGUAACACGUGGGUGAUCUGCCCCGCACUUCGGGAUAAGCCUGGGAAACUGGGUCUAAUACCGGAUAGGACAGUGGUUUGGAUGCCAUUGUGGAAAGUUUUUUCGGUGUGGGAUGAGCUCGCGGCCUAUCAGCUUGUUGGUGGGGUAAUGGCCUACCAAGGCGUCGACGGGUAGCCGGCCGGAGAGGGUGUACGGCCACAUUGGGACUGAGAUACGGCCCAGACUCCUACGGGAGGCAGCAGUGGGGAAUAUUGCACAAUGGGCGCAAGCCUGAUGCAGCGACGCCGCGUGGGGGAUGACGGCCUUCGGGUUGUAAACUCCUUUCGCUAGGGACGAAGCGUUAUGUGACGGUACCUAGAGAAGAAGCACCGGCUAACUACGUG
rnacentral:rRNA from 1 species